rnacentral:pre_miRNA from 1 species
CUUCCGGAAAUACUUGUCAUUGAAAAUGGAUGUAUCUAGAUGUAUUUUAGUUGUAGAUACAUCCAUUUCCAUCCAUUUUGAUGACAAGUAUUUCCGGGAG